CCUCCGGGCAGGUGCGCGCUGAGCCUCCGGACGCCACGAGGGCGCGCGCCGGGGUGGACUCCGUGACGCCCGUGCGAGUCUACAAUUUUGGGCCAGUGUCUGAAUCAAGACCUGUCUCUGUUCAUGCUCAUGGAUAAAGAAGGCGGUCAGAUCCCAGGUCUGUGCUAGAUGCAAGCAUCAGCAGGCACUAGGAGCAGGGUGAAUGAGAGCCAGGUGUGGUGGUGCAUGCCUGUAAUUUCAGCACUUGGGAGGCUGAGGCAGGAGGAUUGCUGAGUUUGAGGCCAGCCUGGAUUGCAUGAAAAGGUUUGGAAGCAUAGCAGGCUGAUACGAAAAUAAAUAAAUAGAUAAAUAUCGGGAAGCCAAGAUACCAACAUCGUUAAAACCGUUUCAAGCCAGACUCCUGAACUGUAGAAGCCUC
rnacentral:lncRNA from 1 species